rnacentral:tRNA from 1 species
GGAGGGGUGCGCCGAAUGGUAAGGCACUAGUCUUGAAAACUAGCGGGAGCAAUCCCUUGCAGGUUCGAGUCCUGUCCCCUCCGCCA